rnacentral:rRNA from 1 species
AGAGUUUGAUCCUGGCUCAGAACGAACGCUGGCGGCGUGCCUAACACAUGCAAGUCGAACGCGAAAGGGGGCAACCCCCGGUAGCGUGGCAGACGGGUGAGUAACACGUGGGUAACCUGCCCCGAGGCGGGGAAUAACCUUCCGAAAGGAGGGCUAAUACCGCAUGACAUCCCGGAGGCUUCGGCCAUCGGGAUCAAAGCUGGCCUCUGUUUACAAGCUAGCGCCACGGGAGGGACCCGCGCCCCAUUAGCUAGUUGGUGAGGUAACGGCUCACCAAGGCGACGAUGGGUAGCCGGCCUGAGAGGGUGAUCGGCCACACUGGAACUGAGACACGGUCCAGACUCCUACGGGAGGCAGCAGUGAGGAAUCUUGCGCAAUGGGCGAAAGCCUGACGCAGCGACGCCGCGUGGAGGAUGAAGGUCUUCGGAUUGUAAACUCCUGUCGAGCGGGACGAAGGCGGUGAGCGUGAACAUCGCUCGCCGUUGACGGUACCGCUGGAGGAAGCCCCGGCUAACUCCGUGCCAGCAGCCGCGGUAAUACGGAGGGGGCCAGCGUUGUUCGGAAUCAUUGGGCGUAAAGGGCGCGUAGGCGGCCGAUCAAGUCCGACGUGAAACUCCCCGGCUCAACCGGGGGCGUGCGUCGGAUACUGCUCGGCUCGAGUCCCGGAGAGGGUAGUGGAAUUCCCAGUGUAGCGGUGAAAUGCGUAGAUACUGGGAGGAACACCGGUGGCGAAGGCGGCUACCUGGACGGGUACUGACGCUGAUGCGCGAGAGCUAGGGGAGCAAACAGGAUUAGAUACCCUGGUAGUCCUAGCUGUAAACGAUGAACACUAGAUAUUGCAGGAUUUGACCCCUGCAGUGUCGUAGCUAACGCGUUAAGUGUUCCGCCUGGGAAGUACGGUCGCAAGACUAAAACUCAAAGGAAUUGACGG